GGCGUCUGCGCCUGUCAAGGGUGGCACCAUGACGGACCUGGAUGAGCAGGAAGAUGAGAGCAUGGAGACGGCCGGCAAGGACGAGGAGGAGAACGGCACGGGGAGCAAGGGGGAGCAGGCCAAGAACCCUGACCUGCACGAGGACAACGUGACGGAGCAGACCCACCACAUCAUCAUCCCCAGCUACGCCGCCUGG